rnacentral:rRNA from 1 species
GAGCGAACGCUGGCGGAAUGCCUAACACAUGCAAGUCGCGCGGCUUCGGGGCUUCGGCUUCGGGGCAGCGGCGGACGGGUGAGGAGCGCGUAGGAACGUGCCCGGGGGUGGGGACAACGCCGGGAAACUGGCGCUAAUACCGCAUGUCUCCCUUGGGAGAAAAGGCCCCUUCGGGGGCCGCCUUCGGAGCGGCCUGCGCCCGAUUAGCUUGUUGGCGGGGUAACGGCCCACCAAGGCGACGAUCGGUAGCUGGUCUGAGAGGAUGACCAGCCACACUGGGACUGAGACACGGCCCAGACUCCUACGGGAGGCAGCAGUGGGGAAUUUUCCGCAAUGGGCGCAAGCCUGACGGAGCAAGACCGCGUGGGGGAGGAA